ensembl:lncRNA
GUUAAAGUACUGAAGUUAGUGAAAUGGUUUAUUUUAUGUAUGUGUGUCUAGGUUCAUAGGCAAUCCUAUAAUAUUAAUUAAUUUCUGUUUUCUGAUAAGCUCUCUAUAGUGGGAGAAAGGAGUAACACAUUGCACAAUCUGGGGUUGGCCAUGGAAGAGUGCCCUUGACCUAGAAGACAUCCUUACCUGCCACCACUGAAUUUUCUCCUCUCCUGUGUUUACUUCCUUUCUCCCCUUCCCAGGCCCAGGGAUGUGGGCACAGUGGCAACCAUAGGCAUUGCUAAGGGGGAAGGAAUGUAUAUGGCUAAGUAUUGUUAGUUCCUUUUAGCCAAAGACUCUUCAGGAACACGUAGCUGAACAAAAUUGAUUUUAUUGACCCAUUGAAGUAGGGAAGUGACAUGCUGUGGGGAGCCACAGGCUAUCUCAAUCAGAGGGUUUUAGCACUUAUGAAUUUGGGCUAUGUCUGGUGCUUUGGGGGAGGGCUCAAGGAAGCAGGGUUUUGCUCUGUCUGGGUCGGACGUUGUCAGGAAGCAGAAUUCUAUGAUCAAGUGUCUUCAUUUUUACCAAGAAGGUAAGAAGCAUGGAGUGAGGCUAAAGCUGGGAUUGGUAAAGAAGCAGCAGUCGCUCAUUAGCCAGGACAGGGAGAUGCCUGGUCUUUCCUGUGGUUUGGACAAUGUUCCUGUUUUGUCUGUGUUGAGAUGUGAUUACUGAGUUGUCUGAUUUUGGCUUCAUCACUGUCACAGAGUGGCCUUGUCUGAUGGUGUUGUGUGAAAUAGUUUGUGUUCCACAGGAGAACACAACAGCCUGGCUGUGGAUGCCAGGCAAGCUUGUAGCAACAGUAAGGCCUGACUAUAGAGCCAGGCCAGUUCCCAGCUGUCAGGGGCUGCGUUUCUCUUUCUCAGGAUCCAGAGGGCUUGAGCAUUCUGUGAUCAACUCUUUCCUUCCCUUUGAUUAACAGGUAUUGAGCACUUGUUGUGUACUGGGCACUGGGGUGGAGGAAUCAGGCCACGGAUACCCUGUGACGUGCUCCAGCCUUCAAGGACUUCAUUGGUGCCGUGACAAUCGCUUCUCAUGACUUCCUUCUCAAAUGCCUGAGUGUGUUCACUUCCUGUCAGAGCCGGCAGCUAGCUGAUGCAGCCCGAUUUAGGAUUGCAUCAGCCUUCACUCUCCACUAACACUAUGAUCAGGGGAUGUUUUGACAUAGGUUCAGUGUCUUGGCUUUUUUAGUAACUGGGUUGUAUUGCAGGACAGCAAAACACUGCAAUAUAGCCUGGCAUUCAAAUGUGCCAAGUUCACCUCUGCAAAUAAACAUCUGUAAAGGCUGAUGAAUGAAGUAAAUCCAGUGUUGAAACCCCAUUCUCUUAUGUCACAUCGCUGGGAACCAUCUCUGCUCAGCAGCAAGGUGAGAGAGGAAGCAGCUUCUCCGGGAACUGAAGGCCUGACUGGCUGCAUCUCUCUCGGCCUUGGACCAGUGACACUAAGACCCCUGUGUGUCUCCCUGAUGACAGUGAGAACUGCAUUUGAGGGGGUUCCCAGGUUCAGGGAUAUCCCAACCUAAGUUUCAAAUAGAAGAGUUGUGUUCAUCCUCAUUUUAUUUCAGAAGCUGUUCUUAGUGGAGGGUUGGACAAUCUCCAGUCACUGAUGAGUGCUGAAGGUUCCAGAGCUCUGUUCUGAGUUUGGCUGCAGUUGGCCCAUGUUCUUCUGUGCCAAUGGUGCCGCCUCCUGUUUCUUUGUGAACCUGUGAGAAUAAUUCACAAGGUGAGAGCCCACAGGGAGCUGGCACCCAGGGCAGCACGUGUAUGGUCAGGAACAGCACUGCCCAGUGGAAAUGUGAGCCACGUAUGUAAUUUUAAAUGUCCUAGUAGCCACACUAAAAAGGUAUAGACAAACAGGUGAGAUUAAUUUUAAUAAAAUAUUUAACCCAAUAUACCUAAAAUAUUACUAUUUUAACAUGGAAUCAAUAUUUUACAUUCUUUUUUUGGCACUGUCUUCAAAAUACAGUGUGUAUUUAACUUCAGUACGUCUCAUUUUGACUAGCCACAUUUCAAGUGCUCGGUAGCCACACUGGUGAGUGACUACAGGAGAACACAGUUCUAGAACUCAAGGGGAGCUCUAUGCUGUCCUUAUUCUUGCUUAUUUAAGCCUCCUUCAAUUUCC